GAGUUUGAUCUUGGCUCAGAUUGAACGCUGGCGGCAGGCCUAACACAUGCAAGUCGAGCGGAUGACGGGAGCUUGCUCCUUGAUUCAGCGGCGGACGGGUGAGUAAUGCCUAGGAAUCUGCCUGGUAGUGGGGGACAACGUUUCGAAAGGAACGCUAAUACCGCAUACGUCCUACGGGAGAAAGCAGGGGACCUUCGGGCCUUGCGCUAUCAGAUGAGCCUAGGUCGGAUUAGCUAGUUGGUGGGGUAAUGGCUCACCAAGGCGACGAUCCGUAACUGGUCUGAGAGGAUGAUCAGUCACACUGGAACUGAGACACGGUCCAGACUCCUACGGGAGGCAGCAGUGGGGAAUAUUGGACAAUGGGCGAAAGCCUGAUCCAGCCAUGCCGCGUGUGUGAAGAAGGUCUUCGGAUUGUAAAGCACUUUAAGUUGGGAGGAAGGGCAGUAAGUUAAUACCUUGCUGUUUUGACGUUACCGACAGAAUAAGCACCGGCUAACUCUGUGCCAGCAGCC
rnacentral:rRNA from 2 species